UACGUAGGGUGCAAGCGUUGUCCGGAAUUAUUGGGCGUAAAGAGCUCGUAGGCGGUCUGUCGCGUCGGCUGUGAAAACCCGGGGCUCAACCCCGGGCCUGCAGUCGAUACGGGCAGACUAGAGUGCGGUAGGGGAGACUGGAAUUCCUGGUGUAGCGGUGAAAUGCGCAGAUAUCAGGUGGAACACCGGUGGCGAAGGCGGGUCUCUGGGCCGUAACUGACGCUGAGGAGCGAAAGCGUGGGGAGCGAACAGG
rnacentral:rRNA from 1 species